rnacentral:rRNA from 1 species
UACAGAGGUCCCAAGCGUUGUUCGGAUUCACUGGCGUAAAGGGUGCGUAGGUGGUCAGGUAAGUCAGGUGUGAAAUCUCCACGCUCAACGUGGAGGCGCCACCUGAAACUGCCGUGACUCGAGUCCGGUAGGGGAGUGUGGAAUUCCUGGUGUAGCGGUGAAAUGCGCAGAUAUCAGGAGGAACACCAGUGGCGAAGGCGGCACUCUGGGCCGGUACUGACGCUGAGGAGCGAAAGCGUGGGAGCGAACAGG